CCUACGGGCGGCAGCAGUGGGGAAUAUUGGACAAUGGGGGCAACCCUGAUCCAGCCAUGCCGCGUGUGUGAAGAAGGCCCUCGGGUUGUAAAGCACUUUCAGUGAGGAAGAACGCCUGGUGGUUAAUACCCAUCAGGAAAGACAUCACUCACAGAAGAAGCACCGGCUAACUCCGUGCCAGCAGCCGCGGUAAUACGGAGGGUGCGAGCGUUAAUCGGAAUUACUGGGCGUAAAGCGCGCGUAGGUGGCUUGAUAAGCCGGUUGUGAAAGCCCCGGGCUCAACCUGGGAACGGCAUCCGGAACUGUCAAGCUAGAGUGCAGGAGAGGAAGGUAGAAUUCCCGGGGUAGCGGUGAAAUGCGUAGAGAUCGGGAGGAAUACCAGUGGCGAAGGCGGCCUUCUGGACUGACACUGACACUGAGGUGCGAAAGCGUGGGUAGCAAACAGGAUUAGAUACCCGGGUAGUC
rnacentral:rRNA from 1 species